rnacentral:tRNA from 1 species
GGAGAGGUGUCCGAGUGGUCGAAGGAGCAGCACUGGAAAUGCUGUGUACCCCCCGGGUACCGAGGGUUCAAAUCCCUCCCUCUCCGCCA